GUAGUCCACGCCGUAAACGAUGAGAACUAGGUGUAGCGGGUAUUGACCCCUGCUGUGCCGAAGUUAACGCAUUAAGUUCUCCGCCUGGGGAGUACGGCCGCAAGGCUAAAACUCAAAGGAAUUGACGGGGACCCGCACAAGCGGUGGAGCAUGUGGUUUAAUUCGACGCAACGCGAAGAACCUUACCUGGAUUUGACAUCCUCUGACCUCCAUGGAAACAUGGCUUUUUAUGCUUGCAUAAACAGAGUGACAGGUGCUGCAUGGCUGUCGUCAGCUCGUGUCGUGAGAUGUUGGGUUAAGUCCCGCAACGAGCGCAACCCUUGUUUUUAGUUGCUAUUAUUAAGUUAAGCACUCUAGAAAUACUGCCUCGGUUAACGGGGAGGAAGGUGGGGAUGACGUCAAGUCCUCAUGGCCUUUAUAUCCAGGGCUACACACGUGCUACAAUGGGCUGUACAAAGAGUUGCCACUUCGCGAGAAGGAGCUAAUCUCAAAAAGCAGUUCUCAGUUCGGAUUGGAGUCUGCAACUCGACUCCAUGAAGUUGGAAUCGCUAGUAAUCGUGGAUCAGCAUGCCACGGUGAAUACGUUCCCGGGUCUUGUACACACCGCCCGUCACACCACGAAAGUCGGCUGUACCAGAAGUUGCUGGGCUAACCCUUCUGGGAUGCAGGUACCUAAGGUACGGUCGGUAAUUGGGGUG
rnacentral:rRNA from 1 species